UGUAAGCGUAUACCAAAGUUGUUGCAGUUAAAACGCUCGUAGUCGGAAUUUGGCAGUUCCGGAUGUGUGCACGUCGUGUGCGCACUUCGCGGGGAUUGCUUUUGUGGUCUUGCGUAGGAUGAGGCACUUUUAUUAGUGAACGUCCUCACGCAACCACCUUUUACUGUGAGAAAAUCAGAGUGCUCAAAGCAGGCAUUUGCCGUGAAUGUAUUAGCAUGGAAUAAUAGAAUAGGACUUGGUUCUAUUUUGUUGGUUUGUUGGGACUGAGUAAUGAUUAAGAGGGACAGUUGGGGGCAUUUAUAUUUCGGUGCUAGAGGUGAAAUUCUUAGAUUACCGAAAGACAAACUGCUGCGAAAGCGUCUGCCAAGGAUGUUUUCAUUGA
rnacentral:rRNA from 1 species